rnacentral:rRNA from 1 species
CCUUUUGAGCUCGGUCUCGUGGGUUUUGAAGAGUUUCAAAGCCUUCGGAUUCGCGGGAUUGGGAUCUCUUGGCGUACUUUUUCGUACGGUUAGUCAACAUCGGUUUUGAAUGUCAUAAAAUGACUGGAGGAAUGUAGCUUCGAUCUCGUAUUGAAGUGUAAUAGCCUUUGGUAGAUGUGAUGUCUGAGACCGAGGAUUGCAACGGAUACCCUU